CGGCGAGGUGUCCGGGAGACCGAGGAGUAACCGCUGACCAACCACUUCCAAGAAGCCAGGGCAAAGUGACUGGUUCUCCUGCCAGAUGCACCGCCCCUUAACCCCGCCCCUAGCCUGCCAUCUUUCCCGCUAGGCUCAAGAGGAUUGGUUUUCUCACUAGAGGCUCUGCGCUCGCUCCGCCGCACCCCGCCCCCGCUCCAGAGUUGAAGUCUGAGUAUCUUCCGGCUGCUGGGCUUUCAGGCCUGUCUAGUUCAGUUAGGCCUCCUGUCCUAAGUAUGGCUGGCAGUCUUGACACCACUGGGGGACCGGAAACUUGAGGCCGAGCAGACCCCUCCUUCUCCCAACAGCUCUUACCACCACCACCACCCCUGGUAGGGUGACCCAACGUGGUGCCAAUAACCAGGCCUUGAUGACUUCCAAGCAAAAGCUAGACUUCCUCCAAGAUCCCAUCUUCAAAGUGUCAAGGUGUAAAGUACAUCAGUUUUGGAAUGCUGUGGAAGGAGUACAUUCAACUCUGAAGUACAGACAUUCUGAGGAUGCUAGCAUGCCCGCUGUCAUUCAAUGACAGAAUGCUGAACUGAUGCUAAAGCUGAUGCAAGCCUAGUUAAUGUCCUAUGGUCCAGAAAACUGACCUUUGGAGUUACAGUUGGCAUUGGUAACAACUUGUCUGUAUGGGUUAUAAUCUGUUCGUUUUUUUCUAUCAGACAGCAUUUGCAACUUACCAGUCUCUUAAGAUGACUUAUAAAUUUGUAAGGAGUGGGCUUUGAUCAUUAAAAAAUAGUAUUCCCCUCCUCCAGUCACCGAGUGAUUUAUUAGACAAAGUUCUAGUCUACUGACUACUAGGUAGAAUUCUUUCUGGAUUCCCCUCCCACCUGCCGCUGCCCUCCUCCCUGAGGGGCUUAUUUGUUUUGUGAGACAAGGAUUUGCUUCACAGCCCAGGCUGGGCUUGAACUCAAGAUCUUCCUACUUUAGCAUCUCCAAGUGCUGGAGUCACAGGUAUGAAUCACCACGAG
ensembl:lncRNA